CCUCAACCCAGCCUCUCACACAGGUGGGAGUGUACCCCGCCCCCCUCAACCCAGCCUCACACACAGGUGGGAGUGUACACCCAAGUUGCCCCAAAGUGUGGGCAAGCGGUGUGGUUCAGGGGGUGGCUGAAUUGACCAAUGUGUUAAUCCACCAGCCCCCCCCCCACACCCCUUCCCCCCACAUUCCCUCCGAUGGCACUUUCUGCGCUCUGAUUCUUUCUGGGGUCUGUGACUCUUUCUGCUUUUCUGCUGAAUGGAGUGAAAAAUACAAAAGUCGCAGGUGGACUGUUAGCUAUCCUGGGUUAAAAAAUCAUGCACCCACAUCUCUGAUACACUGUCCAUGUGGGCUGCAAGAGGAAAAAAAGCUUCCUGAUUGGGCCACAUGUGAUUAAAUGUAUGCAUUUAGUUGCUUUUUGUGUUGCCCAAGAGACACAAAGCACAUGCAUUUCCCUCAGCAAUUACAAUACUGAGUUUCUCAGCCAAUUGCAAUGUCCCAUGCUUUCUCUACCUGCCCUUGCUAAUUUCAAUAUUUAAAGGGAUUUGUUUUAAAUGCAAAGUGCAAAAUCACUGUAAUUUGUAAUACUCUGUCCACAAGCAGUUUUAUCAAAUCGUAUGUUUUGCACAGAAGAAACAUGCAUGUGAUCAAAUAAAUUAUUUUUUUUACCUUGA